AUGGAGAUUUUAUUUCCAAAGCUUCUGAUAUGUUUUGGCUGAAGGGGACUUCGAAAUUUGUUGAUUCUGAUGCUGAUGCUGGCAAAUUUGCUGACAAUUCUGAACAAGCUCACCAGGUAGCUUUCUUGAUUUUGAUUCAUAAGAAUUUAUUGUAUUCUUUUUUAGGAAUAUGUAAUUGCCAGUUCUAAUCUCUCUUCGUGUCCCCGGUGGUGGUGUAGAAGUAGGAUAAUUUCAAACAUUUCUGGUUUAUGGAGCAUCUUUGUCGGAACUGUUCGUGAUUCUUGGAGUCUCUUAAGUUUUGACUUUGGACAGUGGAAUUGAUUCUGCUACUAAUAAUGGAGCAGAUUAGCUGUUUCAAUGAGAAAUCUUCCAAAAUUGCUUAUUUAUUUAGUUUUGUGAAUAUCAAAUAAGAAGUUACUGAAUGAUAUAAUUAUGGCAAGUGCAAAAAGAGCAAAUUGAUUCAUUCAAUAUCUUGAAGGAUUUUAAAACUUAGCCAAGCCUGUAUUCUGUUGGAAUUAGCAGUAGCUUGUAUACUCUCCUUACUAGGCUUUUAUAAGACAUAAAUUACUGCCUGAGGUGCAGCUCCUCAUUACAAUUGAGGCUUAGACUGGGGUAGCACUGCUGUUUGUAGAAGGAGAACUCAUUCGUUCCCAGCAUUGUGAAAAGGUUCCAUUGAAAUUUGAAGCAGUUGACAAUGCGGAUGCCUUAUUCUGAUCUCUCCUAUGUCACCUCUUUUGCAUUACACUGUGGCACCAACUCCAUUCUUGACGCAUUUAUGAAUUCAAAGUGCAUACACAUCUCCAUGCUGGUUUCAGCUACUCUCUGCUUUAAAAUUCCUUAAUUUAAUUGCUAAGUAUAACUAUAUAACAUUCUGUUCAUUUUUUUUUUCUGGUGUCUUAGGUGAUUUAUUGUGCUUGUGCUUUUAUUGAUGGUAUGGAUAUUGUAGGUCAUAGAAAGUGACAAUGAUGAUGGAUUUUU
rnacentral:lncRNA from 1 species